UCGAAAGGCAGGAGUGUCCGCAAGGGAGUGCGGAGACAGGUGGUGCAUGGCUGUCGUCAGCUCGUGUCGUGAGAUGUUGGGUUAAGUCUUGCAACGAGCGCAACCCUCACUUUUUGUUGUCACCAGGUUAUGCUGGGCACUCUAGGGGAACUGUCCUGGUCAACGGGGAGGAAGGCGGGGACGACGUCAAGUCAUCAUGUCCCUUACGUUCUGGGCUACACACGUGCUACAAUGGUUGGUACAGAGGGAUGCUAGACCGCGAGGUGGAGCUAAACCCAAAAAGUUGGUCUAAGUUCAGAUUGGAGUCUGUAACUCGACUCCAUGAAGGAGGAAUCGCUAGUAAUCGCGUAUCAGCACGACGCGGUGAAUACGCUCCUGGGCCUUGUACACACCGCCUGUUACACCACGAAAGCCAGCUGUACUCGAAGUCGCUGAG
rnacentral:rRNA from 1 species